GUUCGCCCAUUAAAGCGGCACGCGAGCUGGGUUUAGAACGUCGUGAGACAGUUCGGUCCCUAUCCGCUGCGCGCGUAGGAAUCUUGAGAGAGGCUGUCCUUAGUACGAGAGGACCGGGAUGGACAAACCUCUGGUGUGCCAGUUGUCCUGCCAAGGGCACGGCUGGUUGGCUACGUUUGGAAGUGAUAACCGCUGAAAGCAUCUAAGCGGGAAGCACGUCUCAAGAUAAGGGUUCCCACAGAGUUAAUCUGGUAAGGCCCCCGGAAGACCACCGGGUCGAUAGGUCGGACGUGGAAGCACCGCAAGGUGUGAAGCUGACCGAUACUAAUAGGCCGAGGGCUUGAACAC
rnacentral:rRNA from 1 species